rnacentral:lncRNA from 1 species
GCCUUAUUUCUUGCUAUUGAACACAUUACAUAAUUGUAUUAAAAAGUGUUUUGUUGUACUAUUGCAUGAAUACAGCUGCAAUUGUUUUUUCCUUUAGCUAACAUCUUCCUCACAUGUGAGUAAAUAGAUUAUUUUACUUAGUUUGAAUAUGUGGAUAUUAGUUAAGAUUCUCAGUAUUUCUCAUUUCUUUCUUUUUUAUCUUUAUGUUUACUGUACUAUAUGUUUUAAUUCAGUCUCCUAAUAUUUUUAAAAUUUCUCCAUCCUCCAGACAUUUUGCCAACCUUUGGGAAGAUAUUUAAAAUUUUCUUAAUAUUUCAGUUUGGGGGAGUAUCUAAUGUUACCCUUUUUCAUACUAAGAUUCUGCUGAAGGCCUUAUUUGAAGUUGCAUGGUAAACGCCUUAUCUGAAGUUGCAUGG